rnacentral:lncRNA from 1 species
UUGGCUUACCUUCAACAUGAGGCAAUCAGACAACUAUUACACAUGUCUGAAGAAGAGUUUGGACUUCCAAGUGAUGGCCCUAUCACAUUACCAUGUGAUGCACAGUUCAUGAUCUAUAUCAUAUCACUUAUCGAAAGAGGUCUAUCUGCAGAUCUUCAGAAUGCUUUGCUUGUUUUUGUACCUACAAGUCGAUGCUCAUCAGCUUCAUACCUUCAAGAAAAACGAAACUCGCAAUUGCUAGUUUGUUAAUCUAACUUUGAUAAGUUUUGUAGUGGAUAUAUGAUACUCAACAAGUGUAGAGAAUGUUAACAUUUAUAUACAUCAUUUUCUUGACUCCAACUUGUGCUAUUCUUUGACAUGUUAGAAAAAAAAGUGAUUUCUUUCCGUCUAUAUCUGUCUAAUUUUUGGAUGACAUAGUUACUUAAUAUCUUGUUCUAUUCCUCGUGUUGUUUGGAAAGUUAUUCGAUACUUGUAUUGGAAGAAGGUAGCAAGUAUUACGUAGAAUAGUUGAGGUGCGCAUAAGUUGACCCAAACAACACCAUAUAAAUGAAGUAAGCUGACAACUUUGAUAAAUAUAUUUCGGAACUAAUAAAAAUUUGCGAACAAUAGAUAAACAUAGGUCCUUAGAUGAUUUCAGAAAGAAAAAAAGCAUGUCUUGAUCAUAUAUAAGCAAAUGUUAAAUAAGUGAUUUCGGAGAGAUCAAACUUUCUGUAUAAACAAUUCCUUCCUGGAAUGCAGAUUGAGACCCAGACAAUCCAACUAAUUGUCCUUUGGAUGUCCUAAAUACAUGACCAUAGCAACUUUGCCUACGAAAGUCAAGGCUACACCUUAGUAGCACAUCACCAUCUGCAUACCUAUAUUUCGGUGUAAUAUUAUAAGAAUCAGAAGCACGUAAUGUGAACAAUUCAGUCCAAGAUUCCACAACACCAUACUCUUUCAUUCCCCACAACUGAAAAGUAACGGGCUGAUCUCGAUGAUAGUUAUCUGUAGAAUAAAAGCAAAGCAUUCCUCCCAAUACUGAAAUGCCAUAAUUGGAGCUUUGUUUGUGGUCAAAUCUAUAUAUUCGCUCUAGCAAUGGUAUAUCUCCGUACACCUCAUUUGAAGUACUAAAUGAAACCACAGAAUAAUUAUACGAACGACCUAGCCAAUGAAAUGCUCCACCUACAAAUACCAUGGGACUUAUAGUGAAAUCUUGAUAAUAUGGAUGAAUCUCCAUUUGAGAUCCUGUCUUAGGGCAUACAAUAGUUGGAAAGUUAAAAAUACUUCUCCACGAACGACUUUUUAGCGUGAGAAUCUCAAGGGCUGGUUCUAUGCCACCCCUGUUCACCUUAAGGAUCUUAUAGUUAUCACUAAUUGCGUCAUAUCCAAAUCCAAAAGUAGUAUACUCUAGUUUAAAUGGUGUAUAGGGAAGUGCUAGUUUUGUCGAUUCUCUCGUGAAGUGGUUCCACAACAAAAGUUGGUCACCAAAUGAAUAAUUAAGUCCAAGAAGAACCAAACCAUCGCAACAAGAAUAAAUAUUGGCUCCACCAAACGGUGUGCAUUUUGAAGGGCGAUUUUGUGCAUCCCGAAUGAGUUGAUCAGUCGAUAGAGAAAAACAAAAGAAGUUAAACAAACCAGAAGCAAAACUUUCACGAACAAGAAGUUUUUGGGAGUUUAAGUCAUUCUUGGCAUGACUGAGAUGCUUCAUCUUAAAGUAUGACUCGGAGAUUAACGUCUUCCAAGAUUUUGAAACACAUUUGAAUCGAAGAAGAGACCUCACGGGUGACCUGAUGAGGAUGUCCAUAAUUAUACCUUCUUGGUAUUGAAUUUCCAUUGCCUAGAUAGGACAAAGCAAGUGCUUUAGUAUUUCACAAGUUAAAGACAUCAAUCUUUUGGACAAACACACAUUCCAACGGCGGGGAAGCAGGGGCGGAGUCAGAAUUUUCACUAAUAUAAAAAAGUAUACACACAAAAAGUCAAGAAUAUUCAACAUUAACUACAUAUACAUAGAAGCAGAAACAAAGCCUAUCGCCACGCCGACCAUCAAAUACGAGAUUUUUUAAAGAAGAUAGGUAUAGAAACUAUAGUCCAAUCAACGAUAAACAAAAUUGUAACAACAUUGAAAUCAAAACUCACUUGAUGAUCAACAAUAUCUAUUAGCUUUAUGGCUGCUUUACAACUCUCUUCCCUGCAAAUUAAUUAAAAAAUAUAGUGGUCAGAGUUACGGAUUCAUAAUUUUUAGUUUAUGAAUUUUGAAUAGAUUACAUAUUAAACAAAUUUGUAACAUAAUUACAGGGCUUGUGCCAAAGCUACUUGAUUCUGCCGAACCAAAUAAUGGCUCCACUUGGGGGUUAUUCUAAUGUAAUUAACUGAAAAAUUACACGGUAUAUAUACAAGGUAAAAUUCUGCUUCUUCAUGAAUAUUUGAAUCCCCUUAGUGAAGAUACGAACUAAAAGAAAUUAAUUACCUUUGCAAAUUUGAUUGAACUUGACAAUUUGAAUGUAAGCGUUGUUUAAAAAAAAGAAGAGAAAAAAUGCAGUUGGAUGCUAGGGUUUAUAAUAGUCACGAAUUGGACUUGAGG